rnacentral:rRNA from 1 species
UGAACUGAGGGUAGCGGAGAAAUUCCAAUCGAACCUGGAGAUAGCUGGUUCUCUCCGAAAUAGCUUUAGGGCUAGCCUCAAGUGAUGAUUAUUGGAGGUAGAGCACUGUUUGGACGAGGGGCCCCUCUCGGGUUACCGAAUUCAGACAAACUCCGAAUGCCAAUUAAUUUAACUUGGGAGUCAGAACAUGGGUGAUAAGGUCCGUGUUCGAAAGGGAAACAGCCCAGACCACCAGCUAAGGUCCCAAAAUAUAUGUUAAGUGGAAAAGGAUGUGGCGUUGCCCAGACAACUAGGAUGUUGGCUUAGAAGCAGCCAUCAUUUAAAGAGUGCGUAAUAGCUCACUAGUCGAGUGACACUGCGCCGAAAAUGUACCGGGGCUAAACAUAUUACCGAAGCUGUGGAUUGUCCUUUGGACAAUGGUAGGAGAGCGUUCUAAGGGCGUUGAAGCAUGAUCGUAAGGACAUGUGGAGCGCUUAGAAGUGAGAAUGCCGGUGUGAGUAGCGAAAGACGGGUGAGAAUCCCGUCCACCGAUUGACUAAGGUUUCCAGAGGAAGGCUCGUCCGCUCUGGGUUAGUCGGGUCCUAAGCUGAGGCCGACAGGCGUAGGCGAUGGAUAACAGGUUGAUAUUCCUGUACCACCUAUAAUCGUUUUAAUCGAUGGGGGGACGCAGUAGGAUAGGCG